rnacentral:lncRNA from 11 species
CUCGAGUCUCCGUGAUUGAUUUGAAUGCUUCUGUGAGCAACACAUGCAGUGCUUCCAAGUCUGGAUAAAAAAUGGCAAGGGCUAUCAUCAAUCCUCAUGCCUGGGGGGACCCAGUUGAGCUCAGUCUCACAAGAAAUCUCAGGAGGUAUGAAAUCGAUACUUUUGACAAGAAUCUCAACAUGAAUACAUUUAUCUCCAUUUCCAUUCAAGUACAUUUCUAA